ACGCACGCUGGCGGCGUGCCUAAUACAUGCCAGUAGAACGCUGAAGGAGGAGCUUGCUUCUCUGGAUGAGUUGCGAACGGGUGAGUAACGCGUAGGUAACCUGCCUGGUAGCGGGGGAUAACUAUUGGAAACGAUAGCUAAUACCGCAUAAUAGUAGAUGUCGCAUGACAUUUGCUUAAAAGGUGCAAUUGCAUCACUACCAGAUGGACCUGCGUUGUAUUAGCUAGUUGGUGAGGUAACGGCUCACCAAGGCAACGAUACAUAGCCGACCUGAGAGGGUGAUCGGCCACACUGGGACUGAGACACGGCCCAGACUCCUACGGGAGGCAGCAGUAGGGAAUCUUCGGCAAUGGACGGAAGUCUGACCGAGCAACGCCGCGUGAGUGAAGAAGGUUGUCGGAUCGUAAAGCUCUGUUGUAAGAGAAGAACGAGUGUGAGAGUGGAAAGUUCACACUGUGACGGUAUCUUACCAGAAAGGGACGGCUAACUACGUG
rnacentral:rRNA from 1 species